CAGCCGCCGCGGUAAUACGGAGGGCGCGAGCGUUACCCGGAUUUACUGGGCGUAAAGCGCACGUAGGCGGACUCUUAAGUCAGGGGUGAAAUCCCGGGGCUCAACCUCGGAACUGCCUUUGAUACUGGAAGUCUUGAGUGUGGAAGAGGUAAGUGGAAUUGCGAGUGUAGAGGUGAAAUUCGUAGAUAUUCGCAGGAACACCAGUGGCGAAGGCGGCUUACUGGUCCACAACUGACGCUGAGGUGCGAAAGCGUGGGGAGCAAACAGGAUUAGAUACCCGAGUAGUCCCUGUCUCUUAUAC
rnacentral:rRNA from 1 species